AUUGAACGCUGGCGGAAUGCUUUACACAUGCAAGUCGAACGGCAGCACGGACUUCGGUCUGGUGGCGAGUGGCGAACGGGUGAGUAAUACAUCGGAACGCGCCCAAUCGUGGGGGAUAACGUAGCGAAAGCUACGCUAAUACCGCAUACGAUCUAAGGAUGAAAGCGGGGGAUCGCAAGACCUCGCGCGAUUGGAGCGGCCGAUGGCAGAUUAGGUAGUUGGUAGGGUAAAGGCCUACCAAGCCGACGAUCUGUAGCUGGUCUGAGAGGAUGAUCAGCCACACUGGGACUGAGACACGGCCCAGACUCCUACGGGAGGCAGCAGUGGGGAAUUUUGGACAAUGGACGCAAGUCUGAUCCAGCCAUUCCGCGUGCAGGAUGAAGGCCCUCGGGUUGUAAACUGCUUUUGUACAGAACGAAAAGGCUCUGGUUAAUACCUAGGGCUCAUGACGGUACUGUAAGAAUAAACACCGGCUAACUACGUGCCAGCCGCCGCGGUAA
rnacentral:rRNA from 1 species